CUCAAACAGCGUAAUGUGUGGAUCAGAUCGGGGAGGCUGGCGCUCAGUUGGGGAAGAGUUGGACUCGGACGGAAGUGAUGAGAGCAAAAUAAGCCACUGGGCACACUUUAAAGAAAUCGACAGGACAGUGAAUCCUGCUGUUUGACAAGCAGUAGGUGAUGGACGAUGUUUCACUUUGGGACCCCUUAUGUGACUCGGUGAAGAUCGUUUCCAUCAGGUGCUGAGAGAAGAUGAAAGACUGGAGGUUCCUCUGAUUAAUGUGGUGGUAAUGAAAUAAAGCAACUCCUCUCAGUUUAUGUUCCAGGUUUAAGUCAUGAACUGUGAAUAAAGAUGGACAACGUAUAUCUUCACCUCCUCCUGUUGUACAAGAGUAAAGCCAAAAUACCCCUGACGACAUGCACUGAUGAUGUUAUGUGGGGCCCGAGUUGCGCAGUUCAGACUUUAGCGCAGUGCGGUUUUAACAUCCGACUUUCUGCAAACCAAAAUACACAUUUAACUUACCAAUAAUAUGUCAGAGAUCCCUCAUGUCGGUACAGGACACAGCAGAAUUGUUUCUUCUUCUGGUUUGUAUCAUACACUCACAUUUAUGAAAAGUUAAAUGUUAGUUAUUCAUGUUUCCUCUCGCCGUUCCUCCUCUACUCUGCUAAUUUACUGCUAACCUUGGAGAAAAUCAUAAUUGACUUAUAUAUGGAUUUUGUGUGACCCAUGUCCAUGCUGAUAAAAUAGAGGUGACAGAGCUCAUGAUCUAUACUGAAGCCAGUGAGCAAGGGGAGCUCCAAAUGUUUUGGCUUCACUUUUGGAGAGCUGUAAUGUUGUCCAUCUUUUUACACAGUCAGUAGUUGAAACACGCAAUAUGGUCAUGCACAACAUAAGCAGAGCUGUUUGUCCUGCAGACAGUGGAGUCACUGUCCUAUGUCAUCAAGUCCCAGUGGUCCAAGAAAUGCCCUCCACUGUCCUCCCUUCUUCCUCGCCUUGCCUUGUCCAUCAUCUCCCGGUCGUAGCCCCAUGUCCUUGCUUGCCUCGGUGAACAUUCAACGCUGUCGGUGAGUUUGUUUUGGAUCACAAAAAACCAUCGACCGUUGACUGUGCCCCGUGGCUUGCUCUGACGACGUCAGAAAAAGAGCAAAAGGGCAAGUGAGCACAUGCAAAUCCAUAGGCGAAGAAUCACACAUGCAGGAAAAGUGACGUUCUGUUUCCACUGUACCCAAAAGACCAAAAGGUCACAAUCAACAUUCAUUGCUGUCGCUGGGUUGGACUGUGUAGAAAAGCUCACUGAACAAUGAGUGCAACUGUGGCCCAGAUCUUCCUGACUCGUGUCUCAGCCAAUCAGCCGACCGGAUGUGAAGCACUCUGAUUUCUUUAUUUAUAUACUUCUUGUUUUUCUCUUCUAUUUUCUCCUCUCUUCCUCCCUCCCUGGUGCUGGGAGUCUUCAGGGGAAAGAGAGAGAGAACGAGAGAAGAAGAGGGAGAGAGAGAGAGAGAGAGACACAAAUAGACUUCUGGCUGCUUUGCUUGUCCUCAUCCUCCUCUUUUCUCCUCUAAUUGGUGGUUAUGUGUGCAGCAAGGGGGAAGGAAGCGGAGUGAAUGUGUAAUCAUUUGGAGUCUCUUCUCCUUCAGAUGUUUCAUCCCUCUCUUUUUUGUUUGUCUAAUUAUACACCCAGCUCGGUUAACUCUGUGUUAACUGUGCCGGCAAGAAUAAGCGAGUGACAGAGAGAGGGAGCACGAGGGGAACAAAAAAAAAAAGGCGGAAAGAUGAUUGAGAUUUAAAAAUGUUUUCCAAUAUAUUCUCCCUCGGUGCUGCUGCAAGCUGGCUAGGAUAUAAGGUAUUCUCAAAGACCAGAGUUUGUCUCAUUAUCUGUGUGUGAACUUUGGGAGAGUGUGUUUGUGUGCACGUACGGCCAUGACGGAGGGCCUGUCUGCUGAUCACAGGAUGCAAUAUAUUAUUUUCUUUCUGUACUGAAGCAGACUCCUCCCUCAUGGGAAAACACACAUUCUAUAACCUUGUCUGCCUUCAGACAGUCUGGUACCGGCCUUACUGAUGACAUUUCUCAUUGUACUCGUGUGUUACAACAGUGUGUCCUGAGUCUGAAACACAUGCAGACAGAGAUCACACUGCUCUUGUGGAUUUGUAAAUGUUUAUGGAGUUUUAAUGACAGAAUCGUUCAUUAAAUCAAUAAAGUUUAAACAAAUCCA